rnacentral:lncRNA from 1 species
AUAUAAAUAUUUACUUUACAAUACUUAAUAGAAAACUCUGGUUCAUAAUCACUUUAUGAUUGUAUAAACAAAAUAAAAAGGGUAAAAAAAUACGUACUGCUGAAAAUAUGUCAUAUUUUCCUUUUUUUUCUAUCUUUUAUGAGUAAUAUUCUUUCUUAUCUAUCAAAUGUAUAAAUCAAGUGAUUUCUGAUAUAGGUUGAUCUUUUGAUGGUUACACAUCUCUAACUCUCUCAUUUUGUCACUCUAUUCAUCUGUGUUUCUUCUUAUUUUCAAUUUUAUUCUUGCGUCACCAAUGAUUAUUAUAGGGUUUUCGUAUUAUUUUGAUGAGAUUGAGAUGGUUGUUAGGAUUAUAAGGAUCUCAAAAUAAUAAAGAUGUUGCUAAUGUAACACUGGAAAAAUGAUUGAGUUGGUUUCCUUUAUAACAUACAGUCACAUUUUCAUUUUCUUGUAAUUAUUCUAUUUUCAUUUUUUCUUUCUCAUUUUCUUGUAAUUAUUCUUUUUUCUUUUUUUCUUUUUCAUUUUCUACUUAUAAUUAGUAUUUUAGAAUAUUUUUAAAUCUACAUAACUUAUGUUAAUUGUUUAAUUAUCAGAAUAUAGAAGAUGACAUUUUAUGUUCUUUAGGAUAUAAGUAUAUAUUUAAUAAAUUUUGAUGUUCAAUACAUAUCUUUC